UCCCCGGGCUCAACCUGGGAACUGCAUUCGAAACUGGCAGGCUUGAGUCUUGUAGAGGGGGGUAGAAUUCCAGGUGUAGCGGUGAAAUGCGUAGAGAUCUGGAGGAAUACCGGUGGCGAAGGCGGCCCCCUGGACAAAGACUGACGCUCAGGUGCGAAAGCGUGGGGAGCAAACAGGAUUAGAUACCCUGGUAGUCCACGCCGUAAACGAUGUCUACUUGGAGGUUGUGCCCUUGAGGCGUGGCUUCCGGAGCUAACGCGUUAAGUAGACCGCCUGGGGAGUACGGCCGCAAGGUUAAAACUCAAAUGAAUUGACGGGGGCCCGCACAAGCGGUGGAGCAUGUGGUUUAAUUCGAUGCAACGCGAAGAACCUUACCUGGUCUUGACAUCCACAGAACUUUCCAGAGAUGGAUUGGUGCCUUCGGGAACUGUGAGACAGGUGCUGCAUGGCUGUCGUCAGCUCGUGUUGUGAAAUGUUGGGUUAAGUCCCGCAACGAGCGCAAC
rnacentral:rRNA from 1 species